rnacentral:rRNA from 1 species
CGAACGCUGGCGGCGUGGAUUAGGCAUGCAAGUCGAACGAUCUGCUGUAAUGCAGAUAGUGGCAAAAGGGUGAGUAACGCGUGGGUAAUUUACCUUUAGGUUCUGAAUAACUUGCCGAAAGGCGAGCUAAUACUGGAUAAGACCACGCCCCGUAUAUCGGGGUGAGGUUAAAGCUGGGGACCCCAACAGGGCCCGGCACCUUUAGAUGAGCCCGCGUCCUAUCAGCUUGUUGGUGGGGUAAUGGCCCACCAAGGCAUUUGACGGGUAGCUGGUCUGAGAGGAUGGUCAGCCACACUGGGACUGAGACACUGCCCAGACUCCUACGGGAGGCUGCAGUCGAGAAUCUUUUGCAAUGCGGGAAACCGUGACAAUGCGACGCCGCGUGAGCGAUGAAGGUCUUCGGAUUGUAAAGCUCUGUCAGCCUGGAUGAAAGUUUCAGAGGUAAUAUCUUUGAAAUCUGACGGUACAGGCAAAGGAAGCUACGGCUAACUCC